ACUGUCUCCACUUUCAUUUGGGGGGUUCUGUUUUGAUAAGGCAAGGAGAAGGGAAGGAGCUCGAGCGGCGGAGGAGAGGAAGCGAUUUCUUAUGUUCAUGGCGAUUCCGGGCUAUUCCACCGCCCGAUUUCGAUUUCUCCUCCCUUUUCUAUUCGAUCCCCGCUGCCGCGGUUGGUUGUCCUUGUCUCUCGCGUUUCCCUGUGUUGUGGCUAUGUAGUUCCGGAUCUAGGUAAGUUUUGGAUCCGUGGUUCAUCUGUUAUUGGUGUUGUCCGUGGAUCCGUGGUAGGUGCAUGUUGCUGCCGUGUUUGUUUCUAGUCCGCCAUGCCUAGCGCUCCAUUUCCCAUCCUUCUGCCCGCCUGAGUUGUGUAGGAGCUUGUUGUAUGUGGGGAGUUCUAAUCCAUCUCCUUGUUGUGGUCCUUUUCUCCCCUGCUUGUAGAUGUAGAGGUAGGCGUAGGUUGUUUAUUCUGAUGUAGAUGUAGAGGUAGGCGAAGUUAUAGUUGCAGCGGUGGAUUCGCCCUAUCAAUUUUAUUUCUGCUGGCCUGGGUGUCUGUUCCUUUGUCGUUAGAUGUAGUUGCAGAUGGUCUAGCAUGGGUUUCUGCCUGCUUCUGCAGUUUACUUGUAGUUGCUGUUAGCUGCUGAUGUUUGCUGUUGUAAUCCCUGGAAUUCAAUAUGAUUUUUUUUGUUAGAUGUAGGUGUUCAUUUCACCCGGUACCUGAAUCUCUCUGAAUUUGUGUGUACUAGGCUGCAGUGUUGUUGUAGUGUUAGUCCAGGAAUCUCUCUGAAUUUCAUGCUUCUUUACGGUGUAUUUUUACUCCAGACUUGAAGUGUAACUUACCCCUAGAAUUACAGUGUAUCCCCAUCCAGAAUUACUGUGUAAUUUAACUCAUAAUUACAGUGUAACUUGCCCCAUAAUUGCAGUGCAUUUACAGUGUAGCCUGAUGCUUCUUUAUUUGUUGUUACUCUGUAAUUUGUCCUAGUAGUACUGUGUAUUUCCCCCCUAAUUACAGUGUAAUCCUGAUGCUUCUUUCUUCAGUGUAAAUUUUGCUAUAAUUACUGUGUAACAUGUCGUAGAAUUACACUGUAGGUUACCCUGCAAUUACAGUGCAAUAUACCGUGAUUACCGUGUGUUUUUUGUGCUUCUUUAUUUGUAAUUACUGUGUAAUUUUCCCUAGAGUUACUGUGUAAUAUUUUCCCCCGUUACCGUGUAAUUCUCAUGCUUCUUUCAGUGUAAAUUGCAGUGUAUAUUUUUCAGUGUAAUACUGCGCCAGUUUCUUUGUUAUUUACAUUGUAAUUUUUCUCAGAUGUUUUGCAUGCAUUCAUGUAGUUUUGCACUGUAAUAUCCCCCAUUCUUACUAUAUAAUUUAUCUUCAGUUUUUGGCAGUGUACUUCCUCUACCUUUUCAUUGUAAGUUGCCCUAAUUAUUGUGUAUUUUGACUCAGAGUUUCACUGUAUUUAGGUUGGUUUUUACACUGUAUUUUAAGUGAUUCUUGCACUGUAUUAAUAUGCCCCAUUAUUCUAUAAUUCCCCUGAUUGCUGCCUUUCAGUGUAUUUGUUGUGAGAUUUCCCUUGUAAUUGAGCCCCAUUACUCUAUAAUUUUCAACUUUCUUUAAUUUCUUUUUUUUUCGUGUGUCAUGUAUUCUGUUUUGUUAGGUUUAGGUCAAUGGGGAGACUACGGAAAGUCUCUCACAAGGAUGUUUCGGUAGUUUCUUCUAUCGUGAGUGCUGAUUCUUGGAAUGAUCAUUUUGUGCCUAAUGACUUUGCGGAAGAUGGUUCUAAUGCUAUGUCUUUGGUAGUUAUUUCUGUCUUGUUCUCUACUUUCAUUUUCGUUUUUAUUCUUUCUUUCAGUUUAUUAAUUUUUUUUGUUUGUUGACUGAAUUGUUUUUCAGGAUCUUUCUAGUGAUGAUAGAGGGUUUGAUAAAGCUAUUUUUCAAGAAUUUCAUUGCAAUCCCCAUGCUUCCUUUUUGUAAUUGCAGUGUAAUAUACCCUAGAAUUGCAGUGUAAUUUAGCCCAGAUUUUAGUGUAAUCCCAAUGCUUCAUUUUUUUAAUUACAGUGUAAUUUUCCUAGAAUUGCAGUGUAAACUCCAUGCUUCAUUUAUGUAAUUACAGUGUAAUUUUCCCCAUAAUUACAGUUUAAACUUCAUGCUUUAUUUAUGUAAUUAUAGUGUAAUUAUUCCCCGAAUUGCAGUGUAAUUUUUCCUAGAACUUCAGUGUAAAUUUCAUUUUUUUUCUAAACAAAGUAGUGUAAUUUUCCUGCUGAACCUCUAUUACUUGAUAUUUGAGCUUCAUUCUUGUUCAGCUUUGCUUGAAUUACAGUGGAUUUUAACUCUGUUUAGGGCGAUUAUCCUGUGUAGUUCCUUGGUUAUUAUCAUUGUAAUCCACUAGUGUGAUUAUUCAUUUCCUUCACUGUCCAUGUGUACGAGCACUGUAACAAGCUCUGCUUUUCAUUGUCAAUAUUAAUGCCUUCAUCUGAUAGGACUUGUGUUCUUUAUGCUGAUAGGUAUGUCUUUGUAUUCAUGACUUCGUCUGAACUUGCAUGUAUCUCUGUAAUCCACUGAGUUCAUGUUAGUUACAUUGCCCUGUAUCGCAGCAAAGAUUUUUUCAUGUGUACUACAGCAAAGUUUUUUUCAUGUAAUUUCCCCAUGGUUCAUGCUACCUACAUUGCCCUAUACUGCAGCAAAGUUUUUUUCAUGUGUACCUUACACUGGAAUUCGUGUUGGUGUAGUGUUUUGACAGUGAAAUAUUAACAGUUUUACCUUCUGACAGUUAGAAUUUCCCCCCUGAUGAUUCCCACAUUUUCACUAGAUUGUAUGAUGUUUUUUUUUCUACAGGCUAGUUCAUGUAGGAUGUGUAUCUAGAGCAGCGGGGUGAGGAAAAACACGGAAGAGUUCAAUAGAAGUGUGAUCAAAAGGAGUAGGACAUUACGUGAGCUGUGGACCGUCUCUUGGUUGAUCUUCCUCUGCCCUCCACCAAUUAUUCGGAUCUGUUCUUCCCCCUUGCUUCUCUCCAGGUGAUUUGUUGUCCAGGAAAGGAAAAAAGAGCAUGGGCAACGGUCCAGGUGGGUUUCGUGAUAGUUGCCUUGUUUUGUUUUGGUUAUUAGUUAGAACCGGGUCAGAUUUUAGCCGCCCGACCCAUUUUUUUGGAAAUACAAGCAUACAAUUGUCCAUGGUAUUUGGACAUAGGUGUCAGCGCUUGAUUUGUCAGGAAAUUUGACUAUAAUAUAGUGCUUUUUACCUUUGUAUUGGAUGACUUUCUUCGUUAUUUAACUUGUUUACCCCUAA